rnacentral:rRNA from 1 species
CCCUUAGAUGAUCUGGGCUGCACGCGCGCUACACUGACCCUAACAAUGAGCAACUGUCUGGCCUGAGAUGGCUGGGUAGCCUUUUCAACCCAUGUCAUGAUUGGGCUAGAUUUUUGUAAGUCUUGAUCUCUAACGAGGAAUCCCUAGUAUGCGUGAAUCAUCAAUCCAUGCAGAUUAUGUCCCUGCCCUUUGUACACACCGCCCGUCGCUCCUACUGAUUGGGUGAUCCGGUGAGCUGUUCGGCCAUAGCAAUGUUUCUUGAGCAGGGCAAUGAAUGUUUCGCAAACCUUGCCACUUAGAGGAAGGAGAAGUCGUAACA